UAAGUUCAGUUUUAGAGAGUAAUAUAUUUCUUAUUAUUUUGUUUGCUGUUUUUGCAUUGUUUUGUACUGUCGAGUAGGGCACAACUUGAAGCGUUGCACCUCCUCGAUGGAGUGCAGUUCUUUGACACCUCACGCUAAUAAGUUGUAACCGUUCUAUUCUAAUAUGCCUUGUUAAUUUGAGUGUGGUGUUGAUGUAGGUUGGGUUUUCUUCCAAGAACGCCAAUUACCGGAGAUGAGGGUUCAUCGGCAAUGGCGGUCUUCCAUUGAGCAGCUUCGAGCGAUGACAGCACUUGCUUGUAGGUCGUGGGUUUGAGCGGAACUAGAGCCAAGGAGUAAAGAGCGUAUUUCUUCGAAGGCGAAAGAGGAGGUUAUCGUCGAGGGAGUAAGAUGUCGGGAUUGUAAUUUUUAUUGGGAUCUUGAGGGAGAGGGACAUUCUUCGUAGAUUACUAUGAUAAGCAAUGUAGAGUACAGGCACCAUGCGGAGAGAUUGCAAAGCAUCAAGUGCUUCAUCAUGUAUAGAUUCAAUCAAAGGAGACCGCAGUUGAUAGCUCCAAGGUGGCCUAGAAUGAUGCCCAAUAUGGGGCAUAACUUUGAGGCCAGACCACACAUCCACAUAUAGGGGGGGAGAGUCUGGAUGUAAUUGUACCAAAUGGUGGAGAAAACCUUCAUGAUCAUCAAGCUAAUCAAUAUGCAGAGCAAGGUCUAGUGGCAGAAGAGUAGGUGAUGGAACUAGUGAUGUGGCCAGUGGCAAAUUGUUGGGAUUGAGUAGAUUAGAAGAAGCUGUCAGAGGCAACACUGUAUUGAGUUGGGACUGCAGCAACUACAUAGUCACUGAUGGUGAAGUAGGAGAAUUUGCAGGGAGUGGUAACAAGGAAAUAGUAGGCACAACAUCCUUGGACACAGAUUUUAAAAAGUCUAGAUUUAGUCUAUUAUUCCAAAAGAAUAAUGAAGAUACAAAUCAAAAGCUAGAGAGGGAGAUGCUGUAUGGCCAGAAGGUAGGCUCUCUUCCAGAAACACAACAUUGCAUGAUGUGAUCAUGGCUUUAGUUUGCACAUCUUUAAUUGACCUUGUAUACCAUUGUUUGCUAGGUACUGAUCAAAAUCAGAGGAGAAGUAUUCUCCUUCUUGAUCAAAACAGAGAGUACAAAUUAUAUAAUUAGUUUGUUUUUCUGCUGUUA